AUGUUGCUGUGGAUUGGA
rnacentral:miRNA from 1 species